rnacentral:rRNA from 1 species
UGCAAGUCGAGCGAAUCGAUGGGAGCUUGCUCCCUGAGAUUAGCGGCGGACGGGUGAGUAACACGUGGGCAACCUGCCUAUAAGACUGGGAUAACUUCGGGAAACCGGAGCUAAUACCGGAUACGUUCUUUUCUCGCAUGAGAGAAGAUGGAAAGACGGUUUACGCUGUCACUUAUAGAUGGGCCCGCGGCGCAUUAGCUAGUUGGUGAGGUAAUGGCUCACCAAGGCGACGAUGCGUAGCCGACCUGAGAGGGUGAUCGGCCACACUGGGACUGAGACACGGCCCAGACUCCUACGGGAGGCAGCAGUAGGGAAUCUUCCGCAAUGGACGAAAGUCUGACGGAGCAACGCCGCGUGAACGAAGAAGGCCUUCGGGUCGUAAAGUUCUGUUG